GUGUCAGCCGCCGCGGUAAUACGUAGGGUGCGAGCGUUAAUCGGAUUUACUGGGCGUAAAGCGUGCGCAGGCGGCCCGUUAAGACAGGUGUGAAAUCCCUGGGCUCAACCUAGGAAUUGCGCUUGUGACUGGCGGGCUCGAGUACGGUAGAGGGGGGUGGAAUUCCUGGUGUAGCAGUGAAAUGCGUAGAGAUCAGGAGGAACACCGAUGGCGAAGGCAGCCCCCUGGGACUGUACUGACUCUCAUGCUCGAAAGCGUGGGGAGCAAACAGGAUUAGAUACCCUGGUAGUCCACGCCCUGAACGGUGGGCACUAGGUGUGGGGCUCGAGAGGGUUCCGUGCCGAAGGGAAACCAAUAAGUGCCCCGCCUGGGGAGUACGGCCGCAAGGUUGAAACUUAAAUGAAUUGACGGGG
rnacentral:rRNA from 1 species